GUUUGAUCCUGGCUCAGGAUGAACGCUAGCGGCAGGCUUAAUACAUGCAAGUCGAGGGGGCAGCAAUGUCACCGGCGAACGGGUGCGUAACGCGUAUGCAACCUACCUACAUCAGGGGGAUAGCCCUAGGAAACUGGGAUUAACACCGCAUAACAUAUGACAAGGCAUCUUGUUAUAUUGAAAUAUUUAUAGGAUGUAGAUGGGCAUGCGUAGGAUUAGCUAGUUGGUAAGGUAACGGCUUACCAAGGCUACGAUCCUUAGGGGCUCUGAGAGGAGUAUCCCCCACACUGGCACUGAGAUACGGGCCAGACUCCUACGGGAGGCAACAGUAGGGAAUAUUGGGCAAUGGAGGCAACUCUGACCCAGCCAUGCCGCGUGCAGGAAGACGGUCCUCUGGAUUGUAAACUGCUUUUGAAUGGGAAGAAUGUGCUCCUUGCGAGGGGUAAUGACGGUACCAUUAGAAUAAGCCACGGCUAACUACGUGCCAGCAGCCGCGGUAAUACGUAGGUGGCGAGCGUUAUCCGGAUUUAUUGGGUUUAAAGGGUGCGUAGGCGGCUUAAUAAGUCGGUGGUUAAAAGUAGCAGCUUAACUGUUUUACAUGCCAUCGAUACUGUUGAGCUUGAGAUAUUUGGAGGCAGCUAGAAUUUCCGGUGUAGCGGUGAAAUGCAUAGAUACCGGAAGGAAUACCAAUUGCGAAGGCAGGUUGCUACGAAUAAACUGACGCUGAUGCACGAAAGCGUGGGGAUCAAACAGGAUUAGAUACCCUGGUAGUCCACGCCGUAAACGAUGAUUACUAGUUGUUGGGGUUUAAGCCUCAGUGACCAAGGGAAACCGAUAAGUAAUCCACCUGGGGAGUACGCCGGCAACGGUGAAACUCAAAGGAAUUGACGG
rnacentral:rRNA from 1 species